GUGGAAUGCAUCAGAGAUGGUUUUGGUGUGCACAUUCCAGAGGAUGUCAGCCUCCAGUUUCUAAUGGCUUGUGGCAAUAAGCUGGUGUCCCCUAAACUCCAGGAGGGCCAGGAGCUGAAUGGAAUGCUAAUCCAUAAGAUUUUUAAAACCAAAGGCCUGUAUGUGAGACCAUCAAGGACCAUUUUAACUGACUCAGAUGAAGAAAAUGAAUGUUCCAACAUCACUACCAGAUCAACAUUAAGCAGUUGUGCAACUGCUAAGGACCAGGAUGAUGACUGUUUGG